UACGUAGGGGGCGAGCGUUGUCCGGAAUCAUUGGGCGUAAAGAGCUCGUAGGCGGUUCAGCAAGUCGGCUGUGAAAUUCCGAGGCUCAACCUCGGAACUGCAGUCGAUACUGCUGUGACUCGAGUCCGGUAGAGGAGAAUGGAAUUCCCGGUGUAGCGGUGAAAUGCGCAGAUAUCGGGAGGAACACCAGUAGCGAAGGCGGUUCUCUGGGCCGGCACUGACGCUGAGGAGCGAAAGCGUGGGGAGCAAACAGG
rnacentral:rRNA from 1 species